GGCAACGCAGCCAGCUGAAACCGGCCUCCCAUCCACGUAUGAACCGGUUUAUCCUUGUCACCUCAUCCACAUGGUGGGAAAGACAGACAGGGACCGCAAGACAACGACCACAGGGAAGAUUACAAAAGGUACGCCUGUGUGUCAGACAGACAGGAAGAGACUGUGAGAAAGAGUCAGUGUGAAUACAAAUCACUGCACACAUCAAGGUUGAGUUGCCCAGAGUCGGUUCGCUCGGCAGUGUGGAGACCAAGGCAAAAAAAAAAAAAAAAGUGAUCGUAUUUUCACUGGAACAUCUUUUAUGCUUUCCUGGGUUGGCCUGGAUCUCUGUGAACAGGCUGCAUCAGCACAUUUCACUCCUUUGAUCCUUUUGGGGAAGAAAGGCACAGACUGAAGAGAGAUUCACAUUUGAGGUGUUGUGCUUCUACCAUUAUCACAUUAUAUUGGCUCUGUGGAAUUUAGGAUGAAAGGAGUAGAAGCAAAAGAGCUAACCGUUGCACAUCUUAGACCACCUACAGAGGCACCUGAAGCAAGCUGGCAUGCAUCUGUAAUAAAAUUAAAAGUGUAAGUGUAACCAGAUAACCUAAUCAAGGGCUUAAUGACCUCUGAGUGGGUGCUGUUUUUAGAGAUGAGCAGCUUUGUAUUUGAUGCUGCGAAGCCUCCCUGGUCAGUGUACUUUGUGGCCAGCAAACAGCUCGCUUCCCGACUUUAGUUUUCUCAUUUCCAAACUAAAUCCGUCUAUAAAUAGUAAAUGUAUUUGAUCCCUACAAGAGAAAACAUGCCUUGAAAAUAUCCACGAGACAGAAAUCUCAAACCAUGGUUAACACUGCAGAUCUACGUAAUGGUUUGGCUUACGAGGUACAGUAUCAAAUAGCACUGCCUCGCUGUGGAAAUGCAGUUUCCUUGUGCUUCGUGCCAGCUUUGGUUGACCCACUUCCUGUGGCCUGAUUGCCAGUUGUCAUGGUGAAGUGAAAGCAUUGUGAAAGGAAAAGGGGGCGAUUUGCCUGGAACCCAGAAUACAGAACCAUACCAGAUGACAUUUUGCUAAAUGAUGUUUAUUUGUUCUGCGGUGAGAGAGCGCCGCCGGUGUCCCAACACAAAGAAGAGAAGCAGGCUGGAGCUUUGUCUUCUGGCCUCAGUAACCUACUCUCAACUGAUGGUAAUCUCUCAACAGAAACCGGGAUAAAAAGCUUCCUGCUCAUCCUCGAAAGGCUUUGUAUUGACAGAUUUCUGUUAUAAAGUAUGAUAAACCCUGACCCUGAUCUAUUUAACUGUAUACUAAGUGAAAGGACAAUAAAGGCCAUGUGACUUUAAACUUAAAAGGUAUUAGUUCCACAUUUUUGGCGCUGUGGCUGGGAGUUGAGAAGACUGAUACCACUCUAAUGGCUGUACAGAAAAUAUAAUAGCCUUUUACCUACACACUACACACACACAGGGUUUUGAUGUUUUUGUAUUUUUUAAAAUAGUGAUGAAAUAAUGAAAUAUUAAUACAAUUCCAAAAAUAGCCUGGGAAUCUUCAUAUCUAAUGUCAAAUUAUGUGGAAAGUCUGUAACUGUUAAUGAUCAUAAAACUACAGUUUAUUUAAUAACAAAAAUCUAAUAAAAGGACCCUUCUGUAAA